GGCAGCACAGGACAUGUUUUAAGUUAAAGAGAAGAAAAAUAAAUAUAAAAAAAAAUCUUUGCCGGGUCUGGUAUGCAAUGGGUCGUGCUUCAGGUGGCCGUGAAGAAUCUAAGGGGAGGCCACGAUUCUCUCAAAAAUCUCGAGAACUUGCUCAUCUUCUUUUUCAUCUUGUCUCUCAGUCAAAUGUAGUGAUCACGGUGGAGGAGAUCUUCGACAUGAAACCUUGCUUCUUUCUUUUUUGUCUUUCAACACAUAGAUUGAAGAUGGCAGUAUGAAAGAGGCACUAAUUCAUAUUCACUAUAUAUGAAAUAUAGAUGGGUGUCUUGUAACCUAAGGUUUGAUAAUGGUGUAAUUUGUUAGGUAGCUGAACAUUUAUCCACGAAGAACAUUUGUGUGUUUAACCAAAAACAAAAGACAUUGUUUGUGUGCUAGUCAUUUUCAUUUGUCUUUUUCUAAAGAAAUGGUAUUCAUGUACUUGUACCAA